rnacentral:lncRNA from 1 species
AAAAAAUAAAAAAAUAAAAAUUUUUUUUUUUUGAAAUUUUGAGAAUCACCACACCACCUCCUCAAAAAAAAAAAAAAAAAAAAAAAAAAGAAGUGUUUCCCGCGUUUUCAAUUUUUUCAAGUUUUACACUGAAAACGCCCAAAACGACAAAAAAGUCGUUUUGUGUUUUCUUCACAAAUUUUUUUUCGUUUUCGAAAAUUCGUUUUCGAAAACGGGAAAGAGAACGCGUUUUCACCGUUUUGAAAAAUCGAAAACAGAAAACAACCCGAAAAUGGUAAAGAGAACAGGGCCUUAGCUUCCACGACUUGUAAACUAGUUUGGUUACCAGCUGCUGAAAUAUUUUCAAAUGGAAGUAUCAUCCCCAGCUCUUUUUUUCUGCGAUAAGCUGCAAUUCGCAUGGCCUCCAAUCCCAUUUUUCAUGAUGAACCAAAUAUAUCAAGAUUGAUUGUCAUUUUAUUUGAGACAAAGUUACUGAAGGGUUUAUUUAGCUCAUGUCUAUCCGGUCUCAACAUCAGCUUGCCGAUACAUUCACUAAAUCUCUUCCUUCUUCUUCAUGCUUCCUCUCUUAUCCAAGAUGGCUGUCAAAGAUAUUUAUAGUCCAUCUUGAAGAGGAGUAUUAGAUCAUAUAAUUGAUGGUAGUUAAUGUUGAGCUGUCAUGUAACUAAUUCUAUACACCAGCCAGUCUAUUUAUAUUGCUUGAAUUGUAACACGCGAUAAAUGAUUUCAUGAAAUGAAUUUCUUCUUUACAGUUAUUCUCUCCAGAUUCUUCUCUUAUCUUCAAACCUUGUUAUCAGUUCUUCUCUUCCAACUUUUCUCUUCAAACAUUAAUAGUAUAGAUGAAUUAACUGUUGAAUCUACGAAUUUGAAUUGGUAGAAGUAUGAAAAUCCAAGUGUUUCUCCUGUUUUUUGCUGCAAGGAUAUGGUUAAACUAUUGGCUUGGAAGUCUCUCAUUGAAGGGAUACGUUUCGAGAGAUUGUAAUUCAGUCCCUUGGAAUUGGGAUACGGAGGAUGAGUUGUGGGAUUUAGGGAACGCUUAAAGCAUUGAAUUUUGCUGUAAUAACAAUAGUUGGGUGAAAUUUCAUAAUCAUCACUUAUAACAUAUGGUUUUGCAGAUAUCAUUGAAGAGUUUUAGAGAUGGUGUCAUAUGUGAUCUUAUUAUCACCAGCAAUACCCAAAGACAUGUGGAGCCUUUGGCCAUAAUAAUGGAAGCACUGGCUGAAACAGGCAAUUCAGCAUUUCCCAAGUAUGCCUGUUUACUUCUUGUUUUCAGGAAAAAUAUUCUGAUAGUUGCAUUGCUAUAACAAGGAAAUGAAAUUCUAACUUAAGUCAAAAUGUAAAUUACAAUAAUUUGUAAAUAAAAUUGAUUGUAUUGCGAAUAUUCUUUUGAGUUUUGCAUCACCUAAAAUAUUCCCCUUGGUUUGCAUGGAAGGAGUUUCAGUAACUGUGCUGAAAAUUAUUUAUUGAAUCUAAUCCACUUUGUACUCUUGAGUUCCAUGAGAUAUAUAGCAAUCUUGACUCAGGUUGCCCUUGAAUUCUAAUACUAUUAAAUAAUGAAAUUGAAUGGAUUGGGGAAAAGAUGAAAGCAAAGAAUUUGACUUAUCAUUCUUUAAAAAGCAUCAAUAUAAUGCUUUCUGCAGUGAAGGUUUUCUAAAACACAAUGGUAAUAUUGCUACCCCUUUGUCACUAGGAUUACUGUUAAUGUCACCAGUUAAUGCGUGUUGUUCAUAGAGGCUGAUCCAAACAUCAAACAUAAGCUUUUUGAUGAAAACAUAUGGUUAUCAUUUCUGCCAAUUCCCUUUGCUAUUGAUCUGCUGCACCGAGCUUCAAUCACGAAGCUUCAGCUCACAUGUGAUGCUUCAAUUAAGAUAUUUUAUCACUUCAUCAUCCUUACCUUAUGACUUCAAUUCGGUUGGUGAGGACGUGAAGUGUGGGCUUUUUAUUUAUCUUCGAAUUUAAUGUCACGUGGGCCUCUUUUGAAGUUUUGUUAGGUGAGGCGUAACAACUUACACUUGAUGUUAUUUGAAGGUAAUGCAAUUUUAUACGCUUUCAAUAGUAAUUUAGACCUCUUGAAUUUUUUUUAUUUUUUAUUUUUUACAAAGCCCAAUACUCGUACACUAACAUGGCUCACAUAUUCUGUCUAUCCUACAUUCAAAUAUACUUGUACAACUUGAUUAACUUAAUAGCCACCGCCUUUCCCACCUUCAGGGAAUGUCACUCGUUUUUUACGAUUUGUCCUAAUGUGCAGGAACAUUAUGCGUGGAUUCGAGUGGAGCCGAAUUUGCUAACCACGUCAUCGGUCCAAAAUUCAACGUCAACACAUACAAUUUUUGUUCAUUAGUCUUUUUUUUUUUUUAAUAACUAAUGUUCAAAUUAGUUGUUGGUUGAUCUAGAAAUAAACAAAGGCGAAUAAGCGAUUUUUGGUUUCUUUUUCCCUUUUUUUUUUCCCUAUCAAAUUUUCCUUUUUCCAGAUCAUUGCAAAAAAUGAUGAAUUACUCAGUCCUUGGAUCUUUAUUAUUUUAGCUAGUCAGGCGCUAAAUAUGAAUUUCGUGACUGGUAAUUUAAGCAAAGUUCAGCUAGGUUUUCAGACUUAUUGCACUUCA